rnacentral:rRNA from 1 species
UACAGAGGGUGCGAGCGUUGUCCGGAAUCACUGGGCGUAAAGGGCGCGUAGGCGGCCUGAUAAGUAGGGGGUGAAAUCCUGUGGCUUAACUGCAGGGCUGCCUCCUAGACUGUUAGGCUCGAGCACGGUAGAGGCAGAUGGAAUUCCCGGUGUAGCGGUGGAAUGCGUAGAGAUCGGGAAGAACAUCGGUGGCGAAGGCGGUCUGCUGGGCCGUUGCUGACGCUGAGGAGCGAAAGCGUGGGGAGCGAACAGG